AUGGAAAUGGUUUGUUGGAACUGCCGAGGGUUGGGUCGACCUCGGACAGUCCAAUAGCUUGUGUGUCUCACAAAGACACAUCGACCCAACGUUAUCUUUCUUUCCGAAACAAGGAAAAAUAGAAAUAUUGAGAGUUUGCGUUAUCGCUAGGGUAUGAAAAAUGUUUUUACUAUUUCUAGGCCAUGCAAAGGAGAUGGUCUAGCGCUCGUUUUGAUAUAUAUGAUCUGUACACUUUGGAACUGA
rnacentral:rRNA from 1 species